UGAAAAGCGUAGUCGAUGGGAAACGGGUUAAUAUUCCCGUACUUGGAUAAACUGCGAUGUGGGGACGGAGAAGGUUAGGUAAGCAGACUGUUGGAUGUCUGUUUAAGCCGGUAGGUGGAAUGUUUAGGCAAAUCCGGACAUUCUUAACACCGAGAAGUGAUGACGAGCUCUUAAGGGAGUGAAGUUACCGAUACCACGCUUCCAGGAAAAGCCACUAAGCUUCAGGUUUAUCUAAACCGUACUGAAAACCGACACAGGUGGUCAGGUAGAGAAUACUCAGGCGCUUGAGAGAACUCGGGUGAAGGAACUAGGCAAAAUAGCACCGUAACUUCGGGAGAAGGUGCGCCGGCGUAGAUUGUAGUGACUUGCUCACGAAGGUUGAACCGGUCGAAGAUACCAGCUGGCUGCAACUGUUUAUUAAAAACACAGCACUCUGCAAACACGAAAGUGGACGUAUAGGGUGUGAUGCCUGCCCGGUGCUGGAAGGUUAAUUGAUGGUGUUAUCGAAAGAGAAGCUCCUGAUCGAAGCCCCAGUAAACGGCGGCCGUAACUAUAACGGUCCUAAGGUAGCGAAAUUCCUUGUCGGGUAAGUUCCGACCUGCACGAAUGGCAUAAUGAUGGCCAGGCUGUCUCCACCCGAGACUCAGUGAAAUUGAAAUCGCCGUGAAGAUGCGGUGUACCCGCGGCUAGACGGAAAGACCCCGUGAACCUUUACUAUAGCUUGACACUGAACAUUGAAUUUUGAUGUGUAGGAUAGGUGGGAGGCUUUGAAGCAGUGACGCCAGUCAUUGUGGAGCCAUUGUUGAAAUACCACCCUUUAACGUUUGAUGUUCUAACGAAGUACCUGAAACGGGUACUCGGACAGUGUCUGGUGGGUAGUUUGACUGGGGCGGUCUCCUCCCAAAGAGUAACGGAGGAGCACGAAGGUUUGCUAAUGACGGUCGGACAUCGUCAGGUUAGUGCAAUGGUAUAAGCAAGCUUAACUGCGAGACAGACAAGUCGAGCAGGUGCGAAAGCAGGUCAUAGUGAUCCGGUGGUUCUGAAUGGAAGGGCCAUCGCUCAACGGAUAAAAGGUACUCCGGGGAUAACAGGCUGAUACCGCCCAAGAGUUCAUAUCGACGGCGGUGUUUGGCACCUCGAUGUCGGCUCAUCACAUCCUGGGGCUGAAGUAGGUCCCAAGGGUAUGGCUGUUCGCCAUUUAAAGUGGUACGCGAGCUGGGUUUAGAACGUCGUGAGACAGUUCGGUCCCUAUCUGCCGUGGGCGUUGGAGAAUUGAAGGGGGCUGCUCCUAGUACGAGAGGACCGGAGUGGACGCAUCACUGGUGUUCCAGUUGUUUCGCCAGAAGCAUUGCUGGGUAGCUACAUGCGGAAGAGAUAAGUGCUGAAAGCAUCUAAGCACGAAACUUGCCUUAAGAUGAGUUCUCCCUGACUAUAAGUCAGUAAGGGUUGUUGGAGACUACGACGUAGAUAGGUGUGGUGUGUAAGUGUAGUGAUACAUUGAGCUAACACAUACUAAUUGCCCGAGAGGCUUAACCAU
rnacentral:rRNA from 1 species